UACGUAGGGUGCUAGCGUUGUCCGGAUUUAUUGGGCGUAAAGAGCUCGUAGGCGGCUUGUCGCGUCGGCUGUGAAAACCUAGGGCUCAACCCUGGGCCUGCAGCCGAUACGGGCAAGCUAGAAUUCGGUAGGGGAGACUGGAAUUCCUGGUGUAGCGGUGAAAUGCGCAGAUAUCAGGAGGAACACCAAUGGCGAAGGCAGAUCUCUGGGCCGUAACUGACGCUGGGGAGCGAAAGCAUGGGGAGCGAACAGG
rnacentral:rRNA from 1 species